ACUAUUAGAGUGAAAUAGUUCAAGAGUAUUCUAAAUAAAAAAUCACUAGGAUUUGGAAGCUCGUGAUUUGGCAUUGAAAAAUUGAACAUCAAAGUCUUUCGAAAAUCAUCUCCAAUCCAAACCAAACCAUAUUUUUUUCUCUCAUCUUCUAAAAUUCCUCGUGUCAAAAUCGCCUUCAAAUCAGUUUCCUUCAAAUUAUCUUCUCAAACCAGUUUCAGCUCAGGGUUUUAAAUCAUCUUCUAAAAAAGAUUUAGGUUUUUAGCUCGUGAGUAACCCAGAGUGAACAAAGAAACACAACUUUAAUUGAACCCAGAGCUCGUGAUUCAGUAUUGGUUUCGCCUAUUUCAGAAGUUCUGAGUCAAGUUGAUGUUCCUUAUACCAUUCAUGUGAUUCAGGUUCACAGGAAAACCAGAAGUUUUACUAUAACAACUUGCUGACGCAUCCCUACUAAAACAUCAAUGGACCAUUGCUUAUUGUUUUUGAUAUGUUGAACUUGUCUUUCCCUGUUAUUUGUUUCUGCCAUCUUUGCACUGAAUGUUGUUGAAUUAUUAUUGUUUUGGAUAGUUUUCUUAUUAUGUUUUAUAGGUCAAUCUUGUGAAUGAAAUUUUAAGCUAGUACAAAUUAGGUGGAAAAGUACAAAAUUGAAUGAAUGAAUUGAAUAAAAUUAAAAGAACAAAACUAAAUGAAUUGGAUGAUAGAUUUGUGGGUACUUUCCUUGUAAUUUGAUUGUUAUAAUUUGAUUUUGGUUUUUUAAUCAACAACUACUUAUAUAAUUGGAUAAUUUGGAUGUUUAUCUUUCAUGCCAGUUGUUUUGCUGUGUGACUAUGCAUUGUGCACAUUACAGACUUUCAAUUUGUUUUGUUGGCUUGUUCUAUUGGAUUCCCCACAUGUUCUUGUUUCUUUGCACAUGGGUUGCUAAUUCACAUCUUACCAUUAGCAACUCAUGUAGUCUUGAACAUUAGCAAAAAAAAAUAUCUUAAAAUUUUUAAGUGCUUGCAAAUGACACCAUAAAUGAUUUUAGUUUUUUGUCAUUAAUUUGAUUUGACAUUUCGAUUAAGCAUUUCAAUUCAGUGCUUCGAUUCUGCGGUUUGAUCAGGGGAUUCCACUCGAUGCCAUAGUUUGUAUGUUGUUAUAUUCAUCUCACUGUGAUUAUGAAUUUCGGUUGUUCAUUCUUACUUGCUCACUGUGAACUUUGCUUGUUAUUUCAGCUCUAGAUCACAAGUAUCGUUCUGCCGCACUUGAUUUGCAACACUCACAACUCUAGCUUCUUGUCAUCUCCUUUUUCGAUCUUCAAUUCAAGUAUUCACUAAUUUUUGAAGCUAUCAUUUGAUGCUAAUUGCUGGAAACUUUAACUUAAACAAAUAGUAAUUAGCCAAACAUCUCACUCUGUAAUGUUGCAAUGGUAAUAAUCUAGUAAUUAUUAGGUUCUUUGUAUGGACAAGUGUUGCCAUCAA